rnacentral:rRNA from 1 species
GGAUUAGAUACCCUGGUAGUCCACGCCGUAAACGAUGGAUACUAGCUGUAUGUCUACUUCAGGUAGAUGUGUGGCCAAGCGAAAGUGAUAAGUAUCCCACCUGGGGAGUACGAUCGCAAGAUUGAAACUCAAAGGAAUUGACGGGGGCCCGCACAAGCGGUGGAGCAUGUGGUUUAAUUCGAUGAUACGCGAGGAACCUUACCAGGGCUUAAAUGUAAUGGGACAGAUUCAGAGAUGAAUUUUUCUUCGGACUCAUUACAAGGUGCUGCAUGGUUGUCGUCAGCUCGUGCCG